rnacentral:rRNA from 1 species
UGCCAGCCGCCGCGGUAAUACGGAGGGUGCGAGCGUUAAUCGGAUUUACUGGGCGUAAAGCGCGCGUAGGCGGUCGAGUAAGUCGGAUGUGAAAGACCUGGGCUCAACCUAGGAACUGCAUUCGAUACUGCUUGACUAGAGUAUGAUAGAGGGUAGUGGAAUUCCGGGUGUAGCGGUGAAAUGCGUAGAUAUCCGGAGGAACAUCAGUGGCGAAGGCGACUGCCCGGAUCAAUACUGACGCUGAGGUGCGAAAGCGUGGGGAGCAAACAGGAUUAGAUA